rnacentral:rRNA from 1 species
GGGUUGUGAGGUUAAGCGACUAAGCGUACACGGUGGAUGCCCUGGCAGUCAGAGGCGAUGAAGGACGUGCUAAUCUGCGAAAAGCGUCGGUAAGGUGAUAUGAACCGUUAUAACCGGCGAUGUCCGAAUGGGGAAACCCAGUGUGAUUCGUCACACUAUCGUUAACUGAAUACAUAGGUUAACGAGGCGAACCGGGGGAACUGAAACAUCUAAGUACCCCGAGGAAAAGAAAUCAACCGAGAUUCCCCCAGUAGCGGCGAGCGAACGGGGAGCAGCCCAGAGUCUGAAUCAGCUUGUGUGUUAGUGGAACGGUCUGGAAAGUCCGACGGUACAGGGUGAUAGUCCCGUACACCAAAAUGCACAGGCUGUGAACUCGAAGAGUAGGGCGGGACACGUGGUAUCCUGUCUGAAUAUGGGGGGACCAUCCUCCAAGGCUAAAUACUCCUGACUGACCGAUAGUGAACCAGUACCGUGAGGGAAAGGCGAAAAGAACCCCAGCGAGGGGAGUGAAAAAGAACCUGAAACCGUGUACGUACAAGCAGUGGGAGCACCUUCGGGUGUGACUGCGUACCUUUUGUAUAAUGGGUCAGCGACUUAUAUU